rnacentral:rRNA from 1 species
UACGUAGGGUGCGAGCGUUAAUCGGAAUUACUGGGCGUAAAGCGUGCGCAGGCGGUUUUGUAAGCCAGAUGUGAAAUCCCCGGGCUUAACCUGGGAAUGGCAUUUGGGACUGCAAGGCUUGAGUGCGGCAGAGGAGACUGGAAUUCCUGGUGUAGCAGUGAAAUGCGUAGAGAUCGGGAGGAACACCAGUAGCGAAGGCGGCUACCUGGACCAGCAUUGACACUCAAGCACGAAAGCGUGGGAGCAAACAGGG